GCGUAGUAACAUUUCGUUUCGCACUGGGAUUCGGAGGGACUCUUGCCGUAAAACCCCCAAAUUUUUCAAGGUUGACCUCGGAUCAGGUAGGAAUACCCGCUGAACUUAAGCAUAUCAAUAAGCGGAGGAAAAGAAACCAACAGGGAUUGCCCCAGUAACGGCGAGUGAAGCGGCAACAGCUCAAAUUUGAAAUCUGGCCCCAGGCCCGAGUUGUAAUUUGCAGAGGAUGCUUUUGGCGCGGUGCCUUCCGAGUUCCCUGGAACGGGACGCCAUAGAGGGUGAGAGCCCCGUACGGUUGGACACCAAGUCUUUGUAAAGCUCCUUCGACGAGUCGAGUAGUUUGGGAAUGCUGCUCAAAAUGGGAGGUAUAUUUCUUCUAAAGCUAAAUAUUGGCCAGAGACCGAUAGCGCACAAGUAGAGUGAUCGAAAGAUGAAAAGCACUUUGAAAAGAGGGUUAAACAGCACGUGAAAUUGUUAAAAGGGAAGCGCUUAUGACCAGACUUGCGCCCGGUGAAUCACCCAGCUCUCGCGGCUGGGGCACUUUGCCGGCUCAGGCCAGCAUCAGCUCGCUGUCGGGGACAAAAGCUUCGGGAACGUAGCUCUCUUCGGGGAGUGUUAUAGCCCGUUGCAUAAUACCCUUCGGCGGGCUGAGGUACGCGCUCCGCAAGGAUGCUGGCGUAAUGGUCAUCAGCGACCCGUCUUGAAACACGGACCAAGGAGUCAACCUUAUGUGCGAGUGUUUGGGUGUUAAACCCCUACGCGUAAUGAAAGUGAACGCAGGUGAGAGCUUCGGCGCAUCAUCGACCGAUCCUGAUGUUCUCGGAUGGAUUUGAGUAAGAGCAUAUAGGGUUGGACCCGAAAGAAGGUGAACUAUGCGUGUAUAGGGUGAAGCCAGAGGAAACUCUGGUGGAGGCUCGCAGCGGUUCUGACGUGCAAAUCGAUCGUCAAAUAUGCGCAUGGGGG
rnacentral:rRNA from 1 species